rnacentral:tRNA from 1 species
GCCCCCGUCGUCUAGAGGCCCAGGACAUCACCCUUUCAAGGUGGAGAUCGCGGGUUCGAAUCCCGCCGGGGGCACCA